rnacentral:rRNA from 1 species
AUUGAACGCUGGCGGCAGGCCUAACACAUGCAAGUCGAGCGGAUGAAGGGAGCUUGCUCCUGGAUUCAGCGGCGGACGGGUGAGUAAUGCCUAGGAAUCUGCCUGGUAGUGGGGGAUAACGUCCGGAAACGGGCGCUAAUACCGCAUACGUCCUGAGGGAGAAAGUGGGGGAUCUUCGGACCUCACGCUAUCAGAUGAGCCUAGGUCGGAUUAGCUAGUUGGUGGGGUAAAGGCCUACCAAGGCGACGAUCCGUAACUGGUCUGAGAGGAUGAUCAGUCACAUGGAAAAUGGACAGCGGUCCAGACCCUACCGGGAGGCGGCGGGGGGAAUUUUGGAACAUGGGCGGAAGUCCGGACCAAGCCUGGCGGGUGGUGUAAAGAAGGUUUUGGGUUUGAAAACCCUUUUAAGUGGGGAGAAAGGGAAAUAAUUUAAUCCCUUGUUUUUUUGACUUUACAAAAAAAAAAAACCCCGCCUACCUUCGUC